AGAAUCAACGCUGGCGGCGUGCCUAACACAUGCAAGUCGAACGAGAAAGUGGAGCAAUCCAUGAGUAAAGUGGCGCACGGGUGAGUAACACGUGACUAACCUACCCUUGAGUGGGGAAUAACUUCGGGAAACCGAGGCUAAUACCGCAUAACACCUACGGGUCAAAGGAGCAAUUCGCUUAAGGAGGGGUCGCGGCAGAUUAGUUAGUUGGCAGGGUAAUGGCCUACCAAGACGGUGAUCUGUA
rnacentral:rRNA from 1 species